GGUGAACAGUGAACAGAAGGUACAGUGUAGACAAGUGUACUGGAUGGUGAACAGUGAACAGAAGGUACAGUGUAGACAAGUGUAGUGGAUGGUGAACGGUGAACAGAAGGUACAGUGUAGACAAGUGUAGUGGAUGGUGAACAGAAGGUACAGUGUAGACAAGUGUAGUGAAUGGUGAACAGUGAACAGAAGGUACAGUGUAGACAAGUGUAGUGAAUGGUGAACAGUGAACAGAAGGUACAGUGUAGACAAGUGUAGUGGAUGGUGAACAGAAGGUACAGUGUAGACAAGUGUAGUGGAUGGUGAACAGAAGGUACAGUGUAGACAAGUGUAGUGGAUGGUGAAUAGUGAACAGAAGGUACAGUGUAGACAAGUGUAGUGGAUGGUGAACAGAAGGUACAGUGUAGACAAGUGUAGUGGAUAGUGAACAGUGAACAGAAGGUACAGUGUAGACAAGUGCAGUGGAUGGUGAAUAGUGAACAGAAGGUACAGUGUAGACAAGUGUACUGGAUGGUGAACAGUGAACAGAAGGUACAGUGUAGACAAGUGUAGUGGAUGGUGAACAGAAGGUACAUUAAUAAAGUGAACAAUUAAAAACAAUUUCAUUUCACUUCUACACCAAGCCAGCCCAGAACCCAGGAGUCCUGCCCC